AGCGAACGUUAGCGGCGGGCCUAACACAUGCAAGUCGAACGAGAAUGUAGGCUUCGGUCUACUAGUAAAGUGGCGGACGGGUGCGUAACACGUGGGUAAUCUACCUUCCGGCGGGGGACAACAGUCCGAAAGGAUUGCUAAUACCGCGUACGUCAGCGGCGCCUACGGGCGCUGUUGGGAAAGAUGGCCUCUCCUUGGAAGCUAUCACCGGAAGAUGAGCCCGCGUCCCAUCAGCUAGUUGGUGAGGUAAUGGCACACCAAGGCUAAGACGGGUAGCUGGUCUGAGAGGAUGAUCAGCCACACUGGGACUGCGACACGGCCCAGACUCCUACGGGAGGCAGCAGUGGGGAAUAUUGGGCAAUGGGCGAAAGCCUGACCCAGCCACGCCGCGUGAGUGAUGAAGGCCUUCGGGUCGUAAAGCUCUGUGGGGAGGGACGAACAAGCUCCGGGCUAAUCACCGGGGACCUGACGGUACCUCCUUAGCAAGCACCGGCUAACCCUGUGCCAGCCGCCGCCGUAAGAC
rnacentral:rRNA from 1 species